GAUGAACGCUGGCGGCGUGCCUAAUACAUGCAAGUCGAGCGAACAGACGAGGAGCUUGCUCCUCUGACGUUAGCGGCGGACGGGUGAGUAACACGUGGAUAACCUACCUAUAAGACUGGGAUAACUUCGGGAAACCGGAGCUAAUACCGGAUAAUAUAUUGAACCGCAUGGUUCAAUAGUGAAAGACGGUUUUGCUGUCACUUAUAGAUGGAUCCGCGCCGCAUUAGCUAGUUGGUAAGGUAACGGCUUACCAAGGCAACGAUGCGUAGCCGACCUGAGAGGGUGAUCGGCCACACUGGAACGGAGACACGGUCCAGACGCCUAAGGGAGGCAGCAGUAGGGAAUGUUCCGCAAUGGGCGAAAGCCUGACGGAGCAACGCCGCGUGAGUGAUGAAGGUCUUCGGAUAGUAAAACUCUGUUAUUAGGGAAGAACAAAUGUGUAAGUAACUAUGCACGUCUUGACGGUACCUAAUCAGAAAGCCACGGCUAACUACGUG
rnacentral:rRNA from 1 species